rnacentral:tRNA from 1 species
GGGGAUGUGGCUCAGUGGCAGAGCUCUUGCCUGGCAUGCAUAAGGCCCUGGGUUUGAGUCCUAACACCA